UACGUAGGGAGCAAGCGUUAUCCGGAUUUAUUGGGUGUAAAGGGUGCGUAGAUGGAUAAUCAAGUUGGUUGUGAAAUCCCUCGGCUUAACUGAGGAACUGCAACCAAAACUGGUAAUCUUGAGUACUGGAGGGGAAAGCGGAAUUCCUAGUGUAGCGGUGAAAUGCGUAGAUAUUAGGAAGAACACCGGUGGCGAAGGCGGCUUUCUGGACAGAAACUGACAUUGAGGCACGAAAGUGUGGGGAGCAAACA
rnacentral:rRNA from 1 species